AAUAACAGAGAGGUGAUUUAACCUGAAAUAUAAAACCUUUUACUAUUUUGACAGCUUUCUACCUUGCUACUUGAUAUCAAGAAUUUUCAUGGCUGAGCUUUCUCUUCACUGGACUAUGGGGGCAACUUCGAAAGCAAUAUGCUGAUAUGGAUAAGCAACUAGAUCCCUGAGUCAUUGGUUGAAGGAAAACUCCUACCAAGCCACCUUGGACUUCUAGUCAGUGAAAAUUUAAUUUUUGUUGUGUUAAGACACCAAGAUUAGGAGUUGGCCUGUGCCAACCACCAGCAAUAAUUAUCCUAAUAGGUUGGUGUUAGGCUAGUUGUUUCCAGGAAAAGUAUUCUAGCAAGCAACAGCUAUUCUUCAGAAUAGGCUGAUGGAAGCCUGUUUCUGCCUAGUCUUGCACAGUCUCCACAAGUUUUCACAAGCAUCCUUUGUGGGAGCCUGGAGUACUAACCAAUCCCAAAAGGACAUCUCUGGAUUGCUGAGGUCCCUGCAGCUUGAUGAUUGGAAAGUAACUUCCUCAAUGUCCAGGGAGCUCUUACUGAAUCUACCAACAUUCUGGCUACAUAGGCACAACCAGUGGAUCUGACUGCAUUGAUUCAGUCAACAAAUGUUUACUACGUACUUAUAAAGGUCCAGACAGUCUUCUGGGAGCUGGCAUGUAUAGUGGCAUUUCACCUCCUUCAUGGUCCUGCUCCCAUCCUCCCAAGAUGGCAAUUAUAUAACAUGAUGGAAAGCACAUACUCAGGAACUGAGCUAGGUACCGGACCACAUCAAGGACCUCCUCCAACUCCUCAAGAACCCAUCAGAUAAGAAUUCUUCUCUUGCUCUUAUAGAUAAGGAGCCUGACUUACAGAGAACCUCCAGGUGACAAGGCCAGGAAGUGCAGAGACUUCUCAGCUCCCAGACUCCCUAACUUCUGUACUCUUUUUGCUAUACAUGGAUAUUUCAAGAUUCCUUCCCAAAUUAGUCACAUGAGAUUCUCAGGAUGUUCUCUCCAUGGUCAAGUUCAUCCAGUAGGCAGAGAACUUUCUUACUAGUCACAGGACAGCUGAUUCAGAUUCUGGCCCAAGAAUCAUGAAAUCCAGACUGCAUCGUGGUGAUCUCAUGAGAAAACACUUCAUACACUCUUUGUCCGUGGCCACAUAACUAGCACUGGAACCUGACUGUGUACACACCCCCUGCCUCUCCUUAUGAUGCAUUCACUGAAGGGUCUUCCUGAGCAUCAUCUUUUACUAAUCACCACAAACAGAAUUCUAUUUGGUGGAAGAAACUAAAGAGGCUAAGGAAUCUGCUCACACCCCUAGAAUCACUGAGGAACAGAGCUGGGUGCAAAUCUGAGCACCCCAGUUCUAAGACCUGUGCUUGAACCUGAUCAUUGGAGAGUUCCCCCCUUCUGAGAACCUACACGUUACCUGACAGGGUUCCUGCCUACUUACAUUCUGUUCUGUUGCUUAUUACUUCAGAGCAAACUACCCGUCAAACAUGGUGCCAUAGGAUUUGCUUUCUCAAUUCUGAGAGUGAGAAAUCAGAGAGGGCACAUUGGGAAUGACUCUUCCUUCUCCAUGAUGUCUCGGGCUUCAGCUGGGAUGGCACAGAUGGCUGCAGAUUGGAAGAGCCAAGCUGGGGGAUCCACUUCCAAGAUGGCCUCUUCACUCCCAGAUCUGGUGCGUUGACUGGGAUGGCUGUCACCUGAGGCAUCGACUAAUAUCUUCUUUUAGUCAUGUUGGUGACACAGAGUGAAUUCUUACAUGGAGACUCAGGGCUCCAAGAGUGAGUGCCCCAGUGAAAGUGGAACUUCAUUCCUUUACAACUAGCCUUGGACGUCACCUAGCCUCCCUUUUGCUAGCCACUACUAGCCCAGAUGUCUCAGACUCACUCAUAGCUAAGGGGAGGGGACACUUCCACCUCUCAAUAGAGGACUGUCAAAGCCCUGGGUGUUAUAUGCAAUGGAUAAAUAACUGAACUCUACAUCCGAAACUAGUGAUAUGUUAUGUUAACUAAUUUACUUUAAAUAAAAUAAGCUAAAAAAAUAAAACCACCAUAUAUGUAUUAAAACUCUGUGUCAGUCAGUGGGUUGAACACUUCAGAUCUAACAUAGACCAAGGAAAAAGUACUUGUCACAUGUUUUUUUAAACUUUCCUUUUAAGAUAACUUAACAGAAAGUGUUGAGAUGGAGAAUAUGUGGGCUUUUAUUUACCUGAAGGCAUCUUCUUCCUCAUCACCAUGGUGGCACAGGAAAGAAGAGAAAGUGAGUACUAUCUGCCUGUGGCAUGUUGACCGAAGGGAAAACAAAUAGCUCUGUCAUCUUGCCUAUGGUUCAUAUUCAAAAUCAGCCCACCUGGUCCAGCUUUUCCAUUUUACAGCUGAGAAGGCUGAGGCCCAGAGAGGAGGACAGACUUGUGUAGGGCUGUGUGGUUCAAUAUGGCAACCACUAGACACAUGCAGGUACUUAAAUUGAAAUGAACUAAAAUUAAAAGCUUGGUUCCUCAGUCACAUUGCAAAUGUUCUCCAGCUAUGCGUGGCUGCUGGCUUCUGUGUCGGACAGCACAGAUAGAGAAUGUUCCUAUUUUUGUAGAAACUUCUCUUGCGUAAUGCUGUUCUGGAGUCAUAUAACCAGUCUAGUCUAGGACUGAAUCCUAGUCUACAACCCUCUACUCUGCUGACGAGGUCCAGGAGUUUUCCCCAGGGAAGCUGCAGUGACUUGGGGCAUUGUCUCCAGAGGCUCAAAGCGCAGAGCCCGUCUCUUGUUUUGGCCUGUGCACUUUUCUGGCUGACUCUCUGGUUAACCAGGUGCCACCUCCAGGUGUGCUGAAAGGGGCUGAAGGAUGGGGAAUGGGUGGCCCUGGGGUCUCUGCUGGGGAUGGGGAGGACCUUGGAGAUAAACUUUUGGCAGCCCCUUGGAAAGCUAGCCCUUCAGAGUAGGGGGUAAGCCCCCUGCCAGGGAAGGGAGACUCCCUCUCCUCUCACUGCUGUAGACACAACCGCAUCACCAGCUUUCCUUCGGCUGCAGUGCUGGCCAGUCCGCAGGCCCCAGCUCCUGUUCUUCAGCCUGGCAGCUCUAUGGUAUCACCUUCCAUCUUGGACAGGGGUCCUCCAUUCAAGGUCCUCUUAGAUCUGCCAGCCUCCCCCUGCCCUCUUGGGGCCAACAUCAUUGCCCUCUGCCCUCUUUCCUGCUGUGGUGGGAACAGAGGCAUUGGCACCCUUUUCCCCAUUCCAUUGCCAGGCGCCACCACAGUCUCCAAGGCCCAGUUCCCACUCAAGGGCUGAGUGGCAGAUGCCCAAGUCUUGGCUCCUGGCCCCAGCUCCACUCCCAACCUUGUACAUGACAAUGGUUGUGUCAGUUCUUCUCUAUGCACUUCAUUUUUCGUCAGCAAAAUGAAGCAGAAGAUGGGGGUGUUUAGGUCAGUGCUUCUCAAACUUUACCUAAAUCUCUUGGGGAAUCUUGCUAAAAUGCAGUUUCUGAUUCUGUAGGUUUGGGAUGGGGGCUGAGA